UAAUUUUUAUUUUGGUGAGAUAACAUUUCUUGAUAUUUAUUUGGAGUUUAUUUUGUGAACCGAUUUUCUACCCUUUUAAUAAUAUUUCCUUGGCUUUUGGUAAUUUAGUCACUUUUGAUCAUACUUGUGAACUUUCCUUGACUUUAGACAUUCUAAGUGUAUAUAUGUAGGUUUAGUUUAUUUAUUAUUAUUUAAUCUUAUCAUUAUUAUUGGUGAAUUAACCUCAUUUUUAUAGAAUCACUGACGCUUGCUACACAGGUACGCUCUCUAUCUUCCCAUUCUAAGUGUAUAUAUAUAGGUUUAGUUUUAUUUAUUUAUUAUUAUUUAAUCUUAUCAUUAUUAUUGGUGAAUUAACCUCAUUUUUAUAGAAUCACUAGUGCUUGCUACACAGGUACGCUCUCUAUCUUCCCAUUUUAAAGUUCCAUGAAUAUGUUUGUCAUUAAGAACUCACUACUACAAAAAAUUAAAUUAAUAACGCUUUAUUUCUUGAAGCUUGUAAAAAAUAUCAUUAUUUAUCUCUAAAAUUAAUAGUUAUUGAUGCUCACACAUUCUUGGUGCUUUACAAGGAGAAGCAAUGGCAUUUUUAAAUAAUGGCUCUUUUGUAUGGAUGUUGUAUUGAAGAAGACAAAUGGAUUAUGGUUUAUGAAUGUAUAAAAAAUAAGAGCCUUGAUCAAGCUCUUUUUGGUGAGAAUGCUUAAAAUAUUUUGCAUCUUGCACUUUAUGUUUUUAUUUUUU
rnacentral:lncRNA from 1 species